UAAGGUGCAUCUAGUGCAGUUAGUGAAGCAGCUUAGAAUCGACUGCCCUAAAUGCUCCUUCUGGC
rnacentral:pre_miRNA from 1 species